AGAUUACGGCUCAGUAACACGUGGAUAACCUGCCCUUGGGUCCCGGCAUAACCCCGGGAAACUGGGGAUAAUUCCGGAUAACGCACAUAUGCUGGAAUGCUUUAUGCGUAAAAUGGAUUCGUCUGCCCAAGGAUGGGUCUGCGGCCUAUCAGGUAGUAGUGGGUGUAAUGUACCUACUAGCCUACAACGGGUACGGGUUGUGAGAGCAAGAGCCCGGAGAUGGAUUCUGAGACAUGAAUCCAGGCCCUACGGGGCGCAGCAGGCGCGAAAACUUUACAAUGCGGGAAACCGUGAUAAGGGGACACCGAGUGCCAGCAUCAUAUGCUGGCUGUCCAGGUGUGUAAAAUACACCUGUUAGCAAGGGCCGGGCAAGACCGGUGCCAGCCGCCGCGGUAACACCGGCGGCCCGAGUGGUGAUCGUGAUUAUUGGGUCUAAAGGGUCCGUAGCCGGUUUGGUCAGUCCUCCGGGAAAUCUGACGGCUUAACCGUUAGGCUUUCGGGGGAUACUGCCAGGCUUGGAACCGGGAGAGGUAAGAGGUACUACAGGGGUAGGAGUGAAAUCUUGUAAUCCCUGUGGGACCACCUGUGGCGAAGGCGUCUUACCAGAACGGGUUCGACGGUGAGGGACGAAAGCUGGGGGCACGAACCGGAUUAGAUACCCGGGUAGUCCCAGCCGUAAACGAUGCUCGCUAGGUGUCAGGCAUGGCGCGACCGUGUCUGGUGCCGCAGGGAAGCCGUGAAGCGAGCCACCUGGGAAGUACGGCCGCAAGGCUGAAACUUAAAGGAAUUGGCGGGGGAGCACAAU
rnacentral:rRNA from 1 species